rnacentral:rRNA from 1 species
UACGUAGGCAGCGAGCGUUGUUCGGAAUUACUGGGCGUAAAGAGUGUGUAGGCGGUGUUCCCAGUCUGUUGUGAAAUCUCCCGGCUUAACUGGGAGGGUGCAGCGGAAACUAGAAUGCUAGAGGGUGGGAGAGGUAAGCGGAAUUCCUGGUGUAGCGGUGAAAUGCGUAGAUAUCAGGAGGAACACCUGUGGUGUAGACAGCUUACUGGACCACUUCUGACGCUGAGACACGAAAGCGUGGGGAGCGAACAGG